GGCUCUCACAGUGGGCCCAGCAUGUUUCCAAUAUUGCAUCAGUCUUUUCCCCAACAGAGUAACGCUUUAAUGGGGCAAAUUUGUUCUCUGCACGGGAAACAUGUGGGCCCUUGUCAGGUGCUGCAUCAGAGUGAGUUGCCCUCCACCAGCUUCCUAGAUCUGGCCGUGUGAGGAGGCAGAAGGAGCCCUCUGAGACUUUGGGCCCUAGAGUAAAUUGGAGUCUCCCUGGAGUAUUGCAAAGCCGGGUUUGGAAAUCUCAGAUGAAGAGAAUGUUGGGCAAUGGAUGAUGGAGAAAAAGGAGAAACAAAGAGAAAGAGAAUGAUUCUUCAAGGCGAAUGACUCGAAAUGGAGAUUUCUUCUAACACCGCGUGAUCACCGACAACUUUUGCAGGACGGGAUGAAACUCCUCUGGGUUUCCAGUCAGAUGUGCGAGUGGGCUCUCUUUAAAUUAUAAACCUGCAGUCUAACAGAGCCUUCAAGGUUAUGGCCAUGAGAAAUGUGAGUGGAGAUAAAACCUCACAUCUUGAGGAUUAACAAGGAGAAUUUUUUAGUAGCAAAAUUAUAUUCUCUUUCAUCCCACAUAAAAAAGAGUUGUAAGUUGUG
rnacentral:lncRNA from 1 species